rnacentral:rRNA from 1 species
UACGUAGGGAGCGAGCGUUGUCCGGAUUUAUUGGGCGUAAAGAGCUUGUAGGCGGUUCGGUAAGUCGGGUGUGAAAACUCUGGGCUCAACCCAGAGACGCCACCCGAUACUGCUGUGACUUGAGUCUGGUAGGGGAGCACGGAAUUCCUGGUGUAGCGGUGAAAUGCACAGAUAUCAGGAGGAACACCGGUGGCGAAGGCGGUGCUCUGGGCCAGUACUGACGCUGAGAAGCGAAAGCGUGGGGAGCGAACAGG